rnacentral:lncRNA from 1 species
ACCAUCCAUCAGCUUCCUUGGUUCUGAGGCCUUCAGACUUGGACUGAGCCACACUACUGGCCCUCCUGGUUCUGCAGCUUGCAGACCCCACAACUGAGUGAGCUAAUUCCCCUAAGAAAUUUGUUCUCAAAUAUCUCUAUCAAUAUCUUUAUCUAUAUAUGUAUCUAUAUGUAUAUCUUCAUGGUUCUGUCUCUCUGGAGAACUCUGCCUAAAACGGGUCUGCAUGAUCUUCCCUUUUCCAACUCCUUAUCUGUGUGAGCCACCGCGCCCGACCUCUACAGAGUUUUCUCAUCUCAGUUAAGGGCAGCCUCAAUUCCCCAGUUGCAAAUACAUGUAUGUAUAAAGAGAGCCUUUCUGCAUGCUUCUCUAUCCCCAACCACCAGCAUCUGACCCAUCACUCAAUCCUGUGAGCUGUUUCCUCAGUGCCUCGUAACCUUCUACUUAUCCCCAUCUUCACCCUGAUGACCAAAACGUUUUCUAACUUGUGUGUUUGCCCCUAAUCUGAUUCCCACCUAAUCCAUUCUUUCCUGAGGGCAAGACACAUUGUUUAAACACACAGAAACACACAUACAUGCACACACACGCUCCUAAAUAUGACACUCCUUUGCUGAAAACCCUUUCACAGCUUCCUUUUCCCUGAGGAUAACAUCCAACAUUUUUCCUGUGACUCACAUGCCCCCGUCUGUUCUGUUUCCUGCCUCCUGUCUCUUCUUACUUGUAACAGUCUCACCACCAUGCCCCUCCUUCUGCCUACCACGUUCCUGACACACCGGCCUCUCUCUGAUGGAGGGACUCAGUGCCUUCUGCCCC